rnacentral:rRNA from 1 species
UUUCAUGCCCAAUUUCAACAUUUCUUCCGGUUGCCAACCAAUUUCAGAAGUCAACUGAUUCAACACUACCCACAAUUCUUUGACCGUAUUCAUUUCUGCCCAGUUAAUUCUCUUGUUCCUCAUGUACUCUCUCAGAUGAGCUGAAAUUUGAUCAACAUCUAUUUCCACCGUUGGCGAAUGAAUCUUUUGCAAACUUGUUUGUGUAGAUUAUCUUUCGUUUCGAAUGUACGCACGGUGCACUUUUGGUCGAUCAGCGUCACGAGCAACGUUCGAAUUUUUUGCUGCCGACAGUAAUUGUGUUUGUUGUUUUAAAAGCAACAAACAAUAAAGGCGGUUUGUGGAUGAGGUAAUUGUGGUAAAGACUUGUUCUUUGGUCUCAAUUGCCGUGCCAAUGCCGCAUCUCUCGGAUGAAUGUUGUUGUUGACAAGUUGAAGAGCAUUGUUCUGCGUACAAUUGUAAUGGGUCUGUUGGUGCCGUUGCGUUCGUGGGUUUCGGCUCACGAUUUCUGGUACGUCGGGAAAAAAGUCAAUUAUGAAUGUAAUUGAUCUGACUACCGUGCGUAACGGUAUUCAAAUGUGUGUUUGAUGGACUUUAUUUGCAAUCGGCGCUCAAUGUGUUUUCUUUUAUCGGUGGCGUCAAUGUUAGCCUCCCAUCCGACCCGUCUUGUAACACGGACCAAGGAGUUCAGUAGGCACGCGAGUCGUUGACGUUUUUCAUUGAACAGUCGAAGGCGAAAUGAAAGUGUUCAUGAAAAUGAACAGUACUUUUUUAUGGAGUGCUGUUCGCUUUCAACAUGAUCGUCCUUUUUUGUGCUUAAUUGUGCAAAAUUGAUGUAUGGGGACGCGCAGUGUGGUGCCGUUGAAUAGUCGCACUGUUCUUUCUUUCUCUUCGGGGUUGGAGGAACAAUUGUCGAUCAGUCGGUUUCGGAGCGUGCACACUGGUACCCGAAAGAUGGUGAACUAUGCUUGAGCAGAAUGAAGCCAGAGGAAACUCUGGUGGAAGUUCGUAGCGGUGUUGACGUGCAAAUCACUCGUCUGACUUGAGUGUAGGGGCGAAAGACUAAUCGAACCAUCUAGUUGCUGGUUCCUUCCGAAGUUUCCCUCAGGAUAGCUGGCAUUUGUUUGUAACAAUUUUAUCCGGUAGAGCGAAUGAUUAGAGGUGUUGGGAACGCAAUGUUCUCAGCCUAUUCUCAAACUUCGAAUGGGUAAGCAAGGCGUUUUGCUUUGAUUUUACGAUGAAAUCGCCCAAUUAGAAUGCAUAAAUGCCUAGUGGGCCAAUUUUGGUAAGCAGAACUGGCGAUGUGGAAUGAACCAAAAGUCAGGUUAAGGUGCCAGACAUUGGCGCUCAUGAAAUACCAGAAAAGGUGUUGGUCGAUAUAGACAGCAGGACGGUGGCCAUGGAAGUUGGAAUCCGCCAAGGAGUGUGUAACAACUCACCUGCCGAAUCGACUAGCCCUGAAAAUGGAUAGCGUUUGAGCGCCAGGCCCAUACCUGACCGUCUCAAUUACGCACUUUUUUUCGGAAAAGGUGUAAUGAACGUUGAGACGGGUAGGAAGGUCGCGACAGUGUUGCUUUGAAGAGUUUUGAGCGUGAGCUCGCUCGGAGCCGCUGUUGGUGCAGAUCUUGGUGGUAGUAGCAAAUAUUCAAGUGAGAACCUUGAAGGCUGAAGUGGAGCAAGGUUCCAUGUGAACAGCAGUUGGACAUGGGUCAGUCGAUCCUAAGAAAACGGCGAAAGCUUGUUCGAAUUUGCGACAUGAAUUGUAAGACUGUGUGUGUUUAUUGUGUGUGCAGUUGUCGUAUGUUUUCGAAAGGGAAUCCGGUUGAUAUUCCGGAACCGAGUAACGGAGACAAAGAGUAGCGCUUUAAUCUCUCUGUGGGGUUGGCGUUCAACUCAAUCGCGCGGUAACGCAAGCGAACUCGGAAAAUGACCGUCGUGAGUUUCGAAAAGAGUUUUCUUUUCUUUUUAAGGGACGCAUUCCCUGGAACCGGGUUGUCCGGAGAUAGGGAUUCUGGUAUCCAUAAAACGCCGACUUUUUCACGGUGUUCGGAGCGCUCUCGUCGGUACGUGAAAAUCCGAGCGACGCCUGGUAAAUCUCGUACUUGGUCGUACUGAUAUCCGCAGCAGGUCUCCAAGGUGAAUAGCCUCUGGCCGAUAGAAUAAUGUAGGUAAGGGAAGUCGGCAAAACGGAUCCGUAACUUCGGAACAAGGAUUGGCUCUAAGGGCUGGGCCGAUCGGGCUGAGGUUUCAAGCGUGCAGUGUAUGCUUGGCUGAGUUGUGUUGAGGACUUGUUCACUUGCCGCCGUUUGUUCGGUUGGUCUAGUGUAUUCGAGUCUGAAGCAGAGCUGGCCGACAGACCGGCACGUGCAGAACCUGAGCUGCGCGGCUGUCCGUUUACGUGUACAGACCGUUUCGGUCGGCAUUCAACAGCCAACUUAGAACUGGCACGGACACAAGGAAUCUGACUGUAUAAUUAAAACAAAGCAUUGCGAUGGCCGAUGAU